rnacentral:rRNA from 1 species
AAGCAGGGGAUCGAAAGACCUUGUGCUUUUGGAGUGGCCGAUGCCUGAUUAGCUAGUUGGUGGGGUAAGGGCCUACCAAGGCUACGAUCAGUAGUUGGUCUGAGAGGACGACCAGCCACACUGGGACUGAGACACGGCCCAGACUCCUACGGGAGGCAGCAGUGGGGAAUUUUGGACAAUGGGCGAAAGCCUGAUCCAGCAAUGCCGCGUGAGUGAAGAAGGCCUUCGGGUUGUAAAGCUCUUUCAGUCGAGAAGAAAAAAUUGCGAUGAAUAAUCGUGAUUCAUGACGGUAUCGACAGAAGAAGCACCGGCUAACUACGUGCCAGCAGCCGCGGUAAUACGUAGGGUGCGAGCGUUAAUCGGAAUUACUGGGCGUAAAGGGUGCGCAGGCGGCUUUGUAAGUCAGAUGUGAAAUCCCCGGGCUUAACCUGGGAAUUGCGUUUGAAACUACAAAGCUUAGA